GCGGGAACUUGAAAGGGGGGGUCACAGCGGGAACGGCUGCUAAUACCCCAUAUGCCGAAAGGUGAAAAGAAAUUUGCCUUGAGAGGGGCUCGCGUCCGAUUAGCUAGUUGGUGAGGUAAGAGCUUACCAAGGCGACGAUCGGUAGCUGGUCUGAGAGGAUGAGCAGCCACACUGGGACUGAGACACGGCCCAGACUCCUACGGGAGGCAGCAGUGGGGAAUUUUCCGCAAUGGGCGAAAGCCUGACGGAGCAACGCCGCGUGGGGGAAGAAGGCCUUUGGGUUGUAAACUCCUUUUCUCAGGGAAGAAGUUCUGACGGUACCUGAGGAAUCAGCCUCGGCUAACUCCGUGCCAGCAGCCGCGGUAAUACGGAGGAGGCAAGCGUUAUCCGGAAUUAUUGGGCGUAAAGCGUUCGUAGGCGGCAUUUCAAGUCUGCUGUCAAAGGCCGAGGCUCAACUUCGGAAAGGCAGUGGAAACUGAAAAGCUAGAGGUCGGUAGGGGCAGAGGGAAUUCCCAGUGUAGCGGUGAAAUGCGUAGAUAUUGGGAAGAACACCGGUGGCGAAAGCGCUCUGCUGGGCCGAACCUGACGCUGAGGGACGAAAGCUAGGGGAGCGAAUGGGAUUAGAUACCCCAGUAGUCAA
rnacentral:rRNA from 1 species